UACGGAGGAUCCAAGCGUUAUCCGGAAUCAUUGGGUUUAAAGGGUCCGUAGGCGGGGAAAUAAGUCAGUGGUGAAAGUCUGCAGCUCAACUGUAGAACUGCCAUUGAUACUGUUUUCCUUGAGUAGUUAUGAAGUGGUUAGAAUGAGUAGUGUAGCGGUGAAAUGCAUAGAUAUUACUCAGAAUACCGAUAGCGAAGGCAGAUCACUAAUAACGAACUGACGCUGAUGGACGAAAGCGUAGGUAGCGAACAGG
rnacentral:misc_RNA from 1 species